AUUGAACGCUGGCGGCAGGCCUAACACCUGCAAGUCGAACGAGUGGCGGACGGGUGAGUAAUGUCUGGGAAACUGCCCGAUGGAGGGGGAUAACUAAUGGAAACGGUAGCUAAUACCGCAUACCAUCGGAUGUGCCCAUAUGGGAUUAGCUAGUAGGUGGGGUAACGGCUCACCUAGGCGACGGUCACUAGCUGGACUGAGAGGAUGCCCAGCCACACUGGAACUAAGAUACGGCCCAAACUCCUACGGGAGGCAGCAGUGGGGAAUAUUACACAAUGGGGGACACGCUGAUGCAGCAACGCCGCGUGCGGGAUGACGGCCUUCGGGUUGUAAACCGCUUUCAGCCAUUACGCGGUAGUGGCAGAAGAAGCACCGGCUAACUACGUGCCAGCAGCCGCGGUAAUUC
rnacentral:rRNA from 1 species